CAAACAGGAUUAGAUACCCUGGUAGUCCACGCCGUAAACGAUGAUAACUAGCUGUCCGGGCUCAUAGAGCUUGGGUGGCGCAGCUAACGCAUUAAGUUAUCCGCCUGGGGAGUACGGUCGCAAGAUUAAAACUCAAAGGAAUUGACGGGGGCCUGCACAAGCGGUGGAGCAUGUGGUUUAAUUCGAAGCAACGCGCAGAACCUUACCAGCCUUUGACAUCCUAGGACGGCUUCUGGAGACAGAUUCCUUCCCUUCGGGGACCUAGUGACAGGUGCUGCAUGGCUGUCGUCAGCUCGUGUCGUGAGAUGUUGGGUUAAGUCCCGCAACGAGCGCAACCCUCGUCCUUAGUUGCCAUCAUUUAGUUGGGCACUUUAAGGAAACUGCCGGUGAUAAGCCGGAGGAAGGUGGGGAUGACGUCAAGUCCUCAUGGCCCUUACAGGCUGGGCUACACACGUGCUACAAUGGCAUCUACAGUGAGCAGCGAUCCCGCGAGGGUUAGCUAAUCUCCAAAAGAUGUCUCAGUUCGGAUUGUUCUCUGCAACUCGAGAGCAUGAAGGCGGAAUCGCUAGUAAUCGCGGAUCAGCAUGCCGCGGUGAAUACGUUCCCAGGCCUUGUACACACCGCCCGUCACACCAUGGGAGUUGGAUUCACCCGAAGGUAGUGCGCUAACCGCAAGGAGGCAGCUAACCACGGUGGGUUCAGCGACUGGGGUGAAGUCGUAACAAGGUAGCCGUAGGGGAACCUGCGGCUGGAUCACCU
rnacentral:rRNA from 1 species